AAUGCCUUUUUCGCCUAACUUUCACUUUCUAAGAUACCCUCUGAAAGUUUUCAAAUAUCUUCUUAAAAAUGAUAUAUGUGUGCUUUACUAUAUUAAAUUUUAAGGCACUUUGCAAAGUUGUGAAUGUCGACACAAAUCUCUUCACAGUUGGAAUGGAGAAGAGGGAAGAGCCUUCAUUCCUCAGGGCUUAUCAAAGUGCUUGAAGACGGCCUGCAGCUGCUUCAGGACAAAAAUGAGGUCCUUCAGACACCUUCUUGGAGAACAAUUAGGGUUGGUCUUUUUGUUGAUUAGGUUUCCGUGGAUUCAAAACAUUGUUGCUGGGACGAAGGAUGAUUAUUGUAAACAUUGAUUGCUCAGGGGUUGUGAGCUCUACAUCUCGUGUGGCGUCCGCGGUCGCAUCUGGCCAGAUUGAUAUGCAUUUGUGACUCACGUAGAAGUAUUUGGGCUAAAACUUCUCGUCGGUAUUGAAAUAGUUGUGGCUUUGGCUCGUAUUGGUCACCUAGGGAUUUGUGAGUGUGCUGCGUUGUGGAUACUAGGAACUGGAAGAAUAUGAGUUUGGCUGAUGGAAUUGUAUUAUCACGAUUAUGCUUUCAUGGUUGGAGAUUUCGAGCGAAAGGAUCGAGUCCUAAUGGUGUGCAUCAGAGCUGAGAAUGUAAACAUUGCGGCUUGUCACAGCAAAUCUAUACCUAUGUAUUUGAAAGCUUUGAAGUGAAGCUCCGAAAUGUAGUUGAAAAACAUCUGAGUCGGUGUUAACGUAACAUGCAGCGGGGAGCAAAUCAUCUGGAGAAUUCUUCAACUUCGAAACAAGAAUCACAGAGCAAGGCUGGAAGAUUCACGGAACGAGGCGAGGACUUUACUGUCUCAACUUUAAGGGAUAUCCUAUGCAAAUGCAAAUGUGGUCUGGAAAUAAUUUACCAUGAUCAUUUCAUAGAGGUACGCAUAGAUUUUUUGCUGAGAUGUGGAGCAAAAAGGUCUUUGGUACACUUGCAGAACGUAGAGUUCGGGCUCUAAAAACGUCAGCUGCAGGAUUUGAACCUGCGCGGGGCAACCCCAGUAGAUUUCGAGUCUACCGCCUUAACCACUCGGCCAAACUGACGUACGACCAUGCUGGGGAUCGAACCCAGAGUCUCUUGCUCCGUAGGCAAGCGCCUUAUCCAUUGGGCCACACGGUCUCGAGCCCCAUAUCUGGUCCAUACGUUUUACCAUAAUACAUUAUAGCUAUUUACUUCCACAACCUCUUGGUUAUCGAACACACACGUCAAACAGUUAUUAUUUCGAUCAUGAACAACUUGUUUGACCAGAUGGUCUGUUGCACUCGGUGAGGUCAUGGUCUCCUUCAACAGCCAAUGGUGCACUGUAUUCUGCUACUUAAUUUUCUGGUGCACAACGUGAGUGAGCCGGGAUGGUGACGACACUGUGAAGUUGGUUUCUUUUGGAGUUUGAGUCAUACCUGUAGUCGGCUGUAAUGAAAAGGAUCUAAAUGAACAGAGCGGUCGUGGUUACAAGGGUGGGGGGGGCAACCUCAGGGGAAAAGAUGCUGCUAAGCAUUCAGAAGACAAUUGCAGGAAUUUUAGUUACAUCUCCAAGGAUAGUAUAUGAAGGAGCAAAUCAGUAUAGAUCUUGCAAGGAUUCUUCAGCCGAAUUACAGAACGGCAAAGGGAGAUGGUACUGUAGAGUCAAUGCUACAUUGGGUUAUAAAUGCAACGUGACAAGCUCGGAAUAAUUCCUACACAACAAACACCGUAUUUACACCCAUAUGAAUACAUUUCUUCAGCUUAUCAAAGAUUUGUCAGUACCGAAAAGGAGUUUCUGUUU